GAGUAGGGGUAGAGCUGGAAAAUGGGUGGGCUGUCCAAUGGGUGUCCAUGUCCAAAUAUAUUUGGGCUUUCAUAAGUUAUACCCAUAUUUCCAGAUGGGUUUUAAAUGGUCAAAAUUGGAAAACCAAUUAAUCUAUGGGUGUUUGUGGAUUUGAUUAAUAUGGACAUAGACAGUCCAAUUAAAAAAAAAAUUCUAGGGUUUCCAAAAUUUGGGAGAAAAUUGAAAAAUUUCAUUUCAUCGUGAAAGAGAGUUUCUGCGACUCCUUUGGCGAUUUUGGCGAUUGAAACUGAGUUC
rnacentral:lncRNA from 1 species